AAGCAAUAAUCUGUGUGUGAAUGUGGUGGUAUCUCAGCGUGACCCUGGAAUCAGUCCUGGCCAAGAAAAUCACAGCAGCGUCACUGAUGAGUAGUGAUUCAAUUACAGCAGUGCAAGGUGUCCUUCUUUCUACCUGCCUUCCGGGUGAUCUCUUCCUCUCUCUAUCGCUCCUCCUCUCUCUUUUUCUGGGACAAUAGGGGAAUAGAGGUGGAGGCUAACAGCUCUAAAACUACUUCUGGUACUGAGGGUGGCUUUGUCUUCCAAAAGAAGAGAAUGUUCUUUCCCUCUGACCACAGUGUGGACAUAAACUCCAGAGAGGAUGCCAUGGAGACAUUCUGGAACUGUUGCCUUGGAAACAGUAAUCAUGGCUUGAGCGAGGGGUGAAAUGGAAGAGUUUUUGAGGGUGGAAGAGUGUAAUCUCCUCCACCUUGUUAUUAGAGCUGCAAUUGAGUCAAAGAUUAGGCACAGAUGGAGGGCGUCCCAGUAGGGAGUCAAGUACACAUCAUAGUUCUCCCCCAGCUGCUCUUUUCACAGACCCAUCUCGCAUCCGCCUCAGCUGUUCCCGUAGGAAGACAAACACGGUCGAUGCCAAUAAAACCACUGCACAACGCUCCCUCAACGCCACCGAACGGAUGAACUUCAUGGGGAGCCACAGAACCCUCACCAGCUCCCCACAGUUCCGGCUGCGGAUACAGCGUGUAAUAGAAGAUGAUAAAUUAUGGAUUCCUUAUCUGGCUCCAAGGAUAAACCAAUCUGAUUCACGGGCCAAUUAACAAGCAUUCUUGCACCUCGACGGAGCGUGCUUAGUGUCUCAUGAAUGAGUGGCAUGCUCUGAGAAAGCGCUCGUUUUUAUGCCAUUCUCAUAACACAUUCUUUCUCAAACACCAUGCUUUUCCUUGCACAUAUUUCAAUUUUAUGAUUCUACGUUAUAUAAUAUAUCACCCAAUUGACUUUUAUCAUGUUUCGUGACUUUUUUUUUUUUAUCCUUGCCAUCGAUUCUGGCUUUCAAAAUACACUGUGCCUUUCUUAGCUUCUUGCUCAUUCUUAACCCAACCCCCUCACACACACCUGCUCUUCCUCAUCAUACACCUGACUCAUCCUCACCUCUAACCUCACACUACAGAGAGGCUUUGGAUGAAGCGUAAUGAUGGUCAGACAGAGAGGCUCUGAGAUGCGGGAAGGGUUGUGUUUUGAGGGCACUCUUUUGGUGUGCGGCGCUCUGAAGCGGGCUGCGUUUGAUCUCCUCGAAAUGCCACAAGUUAUUGUGUUUCUGUUUAAAGUGGUCUUACAGGAGACAUCUGGAAUGCUGUCAGCUCUGGGGCUGAAUUGGGGGAAAGGUGGGGGAUUUUACAGAAGGUGCUGUUGUGUUGUUCAUGUGAGCUCUAAGACUGUAGACGUUUAUUUUCAAGCUGUAUUAUUUUUCAUAGUUCUUGUAUUUUCCCACAAUACAGAGAGAAGAAAUGUUAUUAUUUUGAGCAAAUUGUUUUUUCUGCUUUCAUUUCGCACUCAUGUACACCUUUAGUACAUUAGGCUAGUGUAGAGAGAGAGAGAGAAAAUAAUGAAACAACAACAACAAAUAUUUCCCUUAAAGAGAAAUUGUUUGUUAAAACACCUCAUAAGAACUCUGUUUAGUGCAGAACUUUCUUAUAUUAGGAUAUGGUUUAAAUCACACACAUUUAAGGUAGUGUAUAUAAUAUUCUACCCUCCUAAUACAUCAACUACCAGAAAUGUAUUUUUAGAAACUUAUUCUAGACUUAAACAUAUAAGGAAGAGUUCAUAAAAAAUGAAUUGCGGCCACCGAUAGUGUUGUUUACUUGCUCUCGCUUUCUGCAUUGUUAUAUGGAAGCCUGUUUCCACCUCAGAGUAUAAAAAAGGUAAUUGCUGUAUAUCUACAAAGGUGGUGACUUUAUUUACCGCAAUUGCGGCUAAAUAUCUCAUAGCAUUGACUGUAUCUCACAAUUUAGAUUUUAUAUUUCACAAUGUGACUUAAUGACUCGCAAUUGCUACUUUACAUGCAUAUCUGGCAUUUUAGACUUCUCAAAGUGUAACUUAAUUUCUUAAAUCUUUUUUAUGAUUCAAUUAAUGAAUUACUAAUGCCAACAUCUAGAAAAUGUAUACAGUUGCCUCAGUUGCCUAACCCUAAUGUCACUAUAAAAUCAAAAUUGACAUUUCUUGUUUUGUUAGGGAAUAUUGCUGUAUUUAUUAUAAAAGAUUUAACUGUGCACAUCAUUGUUUUUGUUUUUUUUUUAAAUCAAAAAAAUGUGCCCUUGUAAUCUUUAAUCAAAAUAACAUCCCCUCCCUUAUGCAACAUCAUCUCUGUGUUUACUUGUGUGAGGGCGGGACAACCUGUCACUCACAUGAGAUCACAGCAAUAGCAAACCACAACCAUCCAAUCAAUUCCCGAUAAACAAAAUCAAGUCCUGCCCUACAUUUUUUCCUUUGUUCAAGAAGCCUUUUCACUCAGAUAUACAUCACAACAGGAAAGAAAAGACUAUUGUGACUUACAUUUCAUGUCGACUUUAACUUUCUGUGAUUUGCACCAGCCUGUUUAUUUAGGCUAUUUGACUUUUUUGGCUUCUGUGUGUAUGCACAGUUUAGAAUAGACAUAAUUUGCACACUCAAAAAAAUGAAUUGUUGGAUUUACUUAAAAAAUAAGUGUCAAUGAGCACUCACAGCCUAAACACAGGCGACACUCUUCU